GCGGCAAUAACUCAGUGGUAGAGCCCCCGCUUCGCGUGCGGGGCGACCCGGGUUCGAUUCCCGGUUGCUUCC
rfam:Toxocara canis scaffold1256, whole genome shotgun sequence.